CAGACCCUGAAGCAUGAGGGAGAAAUCAAAGAAGAGAAAAUCAGCAAGAGGAUGAAUGCCCAGAGCUGCAUUGCAUCUGGGACAUGCUGCACCGGGCCUUGUGGAUAGAGCACCCAGAGAGAAAUACCAUAUUAUCCCCAUUUUGCAGAUGAGGAGACAGAAGUGGAGAGAGGUGAAGUGACUUGCUCAACAUCACACAGUUGCCUUCCCACGUGUGUGAGACCAUUGCUGUGGAAAGAAGCCGGGCCUGACUUCAGGGAUCUGGUGUGAAAUGACUGGACCCAUGCGUUCUGAGUAAACAAGAGAGCCCCUUCUGGCUUCUCCGGGAGGAACCAAAUGGCUUCAGCAUUCAGCUCCAAAGCCCGAUGGAGACCAAGAGUGAUACACUGUACUCAUGAUCAACUGCUCAGUUCUGGUUUGGGCCUCUGAGGGCUGAUGGGGUUUGGCAGUUCUGCCUCCACACAGCUGCCAAGGCCACCAUAAUUCUGGGACCUAGGAGUAAUUUCAAAGGUUUGGCUGUUACAUAUACAGCUGUUAUAAACAUCUGUGUGGGUGUCUUUCCAAAUGGAAUUGCUGGUUCAUGGAACCUCCAGCACAAUGUUGAAUGGAAAUGGUGAUAGUGGGCAUCUUGUCUUGUACCCAGUCUCACUAUGUGGAAGCUUCACUAUUUCACAAUGAAGGCCCAGCACGGUGACUCAAACCUGUAAUCCCAGCACUUUGGAGGGCUGAGGCAAGUGGAUCACCUGAGAUCAGGAGUUCAAGACCAGUCAAGACCAGCCUGGCCAACAUGGUGAAACCCCAUCUCUACUAAAAAUACAAAAACAAACAAACAAAAAAAUCAGCCAGCUGUGGUGGCGCAUGCCUGUAGUCCCAGCUACUCGGGAGGCUGAGGCAGGAGAAUCACUUGAACCCAAGAGGAGGAAGUUGCAGGAGUCAAGAUCAUACAACUGCAUUCCAGCCUGGGUGACAGAGCAAGACUCCAUCUCAAAAAAAAAAAAAUUCACAAUGAAGUAUGUUGUUUGCUGAAGGUUUUCAUAGAUGCCCUUUGCCAGGUUGAGGAAGCUCCCUUCUGUUCCUAAUGUGUUGAGACUUUUAUCAUGAAUGUGUGUUAAAUUUUGUAAAAUGCUUUUUACGCAUUUAUCAUGAUUUUUCUCCUUUUUACUGUUAGGUGAAUUACAAUGAUUGGUUUUUGAUUGUUAAACCACCCUUGAAUUCCUGGAUUAAAACUCAUCUAGUCGUAAUGAAUUAUUCUUUUAAUAUUUUGCUGGACUCCAUUUGUUAAUAUUUUAUUUUACUUUAUUUUAUUUUGAGACAGGGUCUAGCUCUGUCACCCAGGCUGGAGUGUAGUGGUGCAGUCAUAGCUCACUGUAAGCUCAAACUCCUGGGGUAACAUGAUCCUCCCACUUUGGCCUCCCAAAGUGCUAGGGUUAUAGGUGUGAGCCACUGUGCCUGGCCAGCUAAUAUUUUAAAUCAUGCUUUUUUUGUGAUAAUUGUAGAUUCACAUGCAGUUGUAAGAAAUAAUACAGAGAUAUAUUGUAUCCUUUGCCAAGUUUCUCCCAAUGUUAAUAUCUUGCAAAAAUACAGUACGGUAUUACAACCAGGAUGUUGACAUUGAUUCAGUCAAGUUGCAGAACAGGCUGAGCUCAUGCCUGUAAUCCUAGCACUUUGGGAGACUGAGGCAGGAGGAUCGCUUGAGUCUAGGAGUUUAAGACAAGCCUGGGCAAAAUAGCAAGGUCUUGUAUCUACAAAAAAUUUAGAAAAAAAAAAUAGCUGGGUUGCCUGUAAUCCAAGCACUUUGGGAGGCCAAGGCAGGCAGAUCACCUGAGGUCAGGAGUUUGAGACCAGCCUGGCAAACACGGUGAAACCUUGUCUCUACUAAAAAUACAAAAAUUAGCUGGGCAUGUUGGCAAGUGCCUGUAAUCCCAGCUACUUGGGAGGCUGAGGCAGGAGAAUGGCUUGAACCUGGGAGGUGGAGGUUGCAGUGAGCUGAGAUCACGCCACUGCACUCCAGCCUGGGCGAAAGAGCGAAACUCACUCUCAAAAAAAAAAAAAUAGCUGGGUGUGGUGCUGCAUGCCUGUAGUCCCAGCUACUUGGGAGCCUGAGGCGGGAGGAUGGCUUGAGCUCAAGAGGUCACAGUGAGCUGUGAUCAUGCCACUGCACUCUAGCCUGGGCAAAACGGCAAGAUCCUGUCUCAAUAAAUAAAUAAAUAAUAAAGUUCCAAAACAGUUCCAUCACAAGAAUCCCUCCUAUUGCCUUUUAUAGCUAUGCCCACUUCCUUCCUGCUCCCACCUCCUCUUUAAACCCUGGCAACCACUAAUCUUUUCAUUUCCAAAAGUUUGUCAUUUCAAGAAUGUUAUAUAAUGGAGUCACACACUACAUAACCAUGUGGUAUUAGUUUUUUGACUUAGCAUAAUUCUCUAAAGAUUCAUCCAAGCUGUUGCAUGUAUGUUUGUUCCUUUUUAUUGCUGAGUAGUAUUCUGUGGUAUGGAUGUACCAGUUAGCCAGCCACUCGUUGAAAGACAUCUGGGCUGUUUCCAGUUUUGGGCUAUUACAAAGAAAGCUGCUAUAAACAUUCACGUACAAAUUUUUGUGUAAACAUUAAUUUUAAAUUCUCUGGUAUAAAUGUCUGAGUGCAACUGCUAGGUCAUAUGGUAGUUGCUCACUUAAUUUUUAUAAGAAACUACCAAACUCUUGUGUAGAAUUACUGUACCAUUUUACAUCUCCAGCGGCAAUGUACGAGUGACCCAGUCUCUGCAUUCUCACUAGCAUUUUUUAUUGUCACUUUUUUAGGCCAAUUGAUAACUAUGUAGCAAUAACUUAUUGUGGUUUUAAUUUGCACUGAUGAUGUUGACUAACUUUUCAUGUGCUUAUUUGCCAUCUGUAGAUCUUCUGUGGUGAAAUGUCUCUUCAUGUCUUUUGCCCAUUUUCUCACUGGAUUGUUUGUUUUGUUUUACUGUUGAGUCUUAAGAGUUCUUCAUAUAUUCUAGAUACAAGUCCUAUGUCAAAUACAUGUUUUGCAAAUAUUCUCUCCCAGUCUAUAGUUUAACUUUUCAUCUAUUUUAUUGCAGAAUGUAAGUAUUUAAUUUGAUGAAGUCUAAUUUAUCCAUCUUUUCUUGUAUGAAUCAUGCUUUUGAUAUCAAGUCUAAGACUUCUUCACUAAUGCCUAGGUCCUGAAGAUUUUCUCCCAUGUUUUCUUCUAAAUAAUUUGUAGUUCUAUGUUUUAUAUUUAAAUCUAUGACUCAUUUUCAGUUAAUUUUUGUGUAAGGUGUGAAGUCUAGGUUGAGGUUUGUCCUUUUGUUUAUGAAUUUCCAAUUGUUCCAGCCUAAUUUGUUGAAAAGGCUGUCUUUCCUCCAUUGAGAUGCUUCUGUACCUUGGUCAAAAAUCAGUUGGGGGCUGGGCGCGGUGGUCACACCUGUAAUCCCAGCACUUUGGGAGGCCGAGGUGGAUGGAUCACUUGAGCUCAGGAGUUUGAGAGCAGCCUGGGCAAUAUGGUGGAACUUCAUCUCUACCAAAAAUACAAAAAAAAAUUAGCCAGGCAUGAUGGCACAAGCCUUUAGUCCCAGCUAUUUGGGAGGCUGAGGCAGGAGGAUCACUUGAGCCUGGGAGACGGAGGUUGCAAUGAGCUGAGAGCACACCACUGCACUCUAGCCUGGGUGACAGAGCAAGACUCUGUCUCAAUAAAUAAAUAAAUAAAUAAAUAAUAAAUAAAUAAAAUUCAGUUGAGCAUAUUUUUGUAGAUCUGCUUCUGAGUUCUCUAUUCUGUCCAUUGAUCUAUGUCUCUCUCUCUCUCUCUCUCUGCCAGUGCCACACAGUCUUAAUGACAGUAGCUAUGUAAUAAGUCUUAAAAUCAGGUAGUGUGAUUCCUCCCACUGUGUUCUUCUUUUGCAAAAUUGUAUUAGCUAUUCUAGUUCCUUUGCCUUUUCAUAUAAAUUUUAGAAUAAUCUUGUCUAUGUCUACAAAAAUGCUUGUUGGAAUUUUGAUAAGAACAACACUAAACUUGCAUAGUAGUUUGAGAGAACUGACAUCUUUACUAUGUUGAAUCUUCCAAUCCAUGAACUCCUGGGUAUGUUUCUCCGUUUUUUUUUAGCUCUUUGAUUUCUUUCAUCAGCAUAUUGUGAUUUUCAACAGACAAAUCUUUUGCAUUUUGUUAGAUUGACACCUAAUUAUUUUUUUGGUGAGAUUAUAAAUGGUAUUGCAUUUUUAAUUUUGAUAUGCACAUGUUCAUUGCUAGUAUAUAGAAUACAGUUUAUUUCUGUAUGUUUGUCUUGUAUUCUGUUACCUUGCUGAACUUGCUUGUCAGUUCUGGGAGGGUUUUUUUUUUAUGGAUUCCUUGAGAUUUUCAUGCCUUCUGCAAAUCAGAGCCAAUUUAUUUAUUUUCCAAUCUGUAUGCCCUUUUUUCCUUUCUUUGUUCUUUGCUUUGCUUUCCUUAUUACAUUGACUAGAACUUCCAGCAUUAUUUUAAAGAAGAGUGAUGAGAGCAGGCAUCCUUUUUUUGUUUCCAAUAUAAAGUGAAAAGUAUUUCAUACUCAAUCUUUCAUUAUUGAGUAUGACCUCAGUUGUAGGAUGUUGUAGAUGGUCUUUAACAAGCUGAAGAAGUUCACACUCCCUCCUUUUUCAAGUGUUUGUCUUAUGAAAGAGUAUUGAAUUUUGUUAAAUGCUUUUUCUGCAUCAAUUGAUAAUGUGAUUUUUCUUUCUUAGUCUGUUAAUAUGAUGGAUUACAUUGAUUUCUGAGUAUUGAACCAGCCUUGCUUUCCUGGAAUAAACCCCACUUGGUCAUGGUGUAUGAUUCUUUUUAUAUAUUGCUGAACUGUAUUUGUUGGCUUUUUUGGAUAAUUUUUCUAUUUUUCUGAGGGAUAUUGGUCUGUAGUUUCUUGUUUUUUUUUUUUUGUUUUUUUUGUUUUGUUCUGUUUUGUUUUGUUUUGUUUUUGUAUAUGGUCUCUUCCAGUUUUGGUGACAGGGUAAAACUGACUUCAUAAAAUGAGUUGAGAAGUCUCCCCUCCUCUUCAGUGUUCUGGAAGAGAUUAUAUAGAGUGAAUUAUUUUUAAACUUUUGGUAGAAUUGUCCAGUGAAACCAUUUGGGCCUAGAAAUUUAUUUUGAGGGAGGUUUUUUAAAUUACAAAUUCAAUUUAUUUGAUAGUCAUAUGACUAUCCAAAUUAUCUCUUUCAUAUUGAGUGAGUUAUGGUAGUUUGUAAUUUUCAAAGAACUGAUACAUUUUAUCUAAGUUGUAAAAUUUAUGUGUGUAGAGUUGUUCAUAGUAUUUCCUUACUGUGCUUUUGAUAUUCACAGGAUCUGUAUCAAUAUCCUCUGUUUUAUUCCUGAUAUUGGUGAUUUGUGUCUUCUCCCUUUUUUUCUUUGUCAGUCUUGCUAGAAAUUUGUCAAUUUUAUUGAUCUUUUCAAAGAACCAGCUCUUUUGUUGCAUUGAUUUCCCACUCUUAAAGUCCUGGAACAUACCUCACUUGGUCAUGAUGAAUUAUUCUUUCAAUGUAUAUUCUGAUUCCAUUUCCUAAUAUUUUGUUUUUAGAUUUUGCAUUCAUGUUUACAAGACAGAUUGGUCCGAAAUGUUCCUUUUUUCAUAAUACCAUUGUCCAGUUUUGGUAUCAAGGUUUGUCUAGUUAUUUGGCUAGGCUUAUAAAAAGAAUUGAGAAGUAUUCCUUCUUUUUCUUUUCUCUAGAGAGAUUUUUGUAAUACUGAUGUUAAUAAACACAUAUAGUUUAAUACACUUAGAUAUAUUUGGUGUAAAUAGUUUCA
rnacentral:lncRNA from 1 species